CGCGGAGCUGCUGGGAGCAUGGCACUGGGGUGCUGGGGGCGGACAAAGCCCCAUUGUUCCUGGGCCCUUUCCCCAUCGCGCCUGGGCCUGCUCCCCAGCCCGGGGCAGGGGCGGGGGCCAGUGUGGUGACACACGCUGUCUCCCCGGCUGGCUGGCUCGCUCUCUCCUGGGGACACAGAGGUCGGCAGGCAGCACACAGAGGGACCUACGGGCAGCUGUUCCUUCCCCCGACUCAAGAAUCCCCGGAGGCCCGGAGGCCUGCAGCAGGAGCGGCCAUGAAGAAGCUGAUGGUGGUGCUGAGUCUGAUUGCUGCAGGUGGGGAAAGGGCAUUUGGAUGGGGGAGGCUUGCAGACAGGGUUG
rnacentral:lncRNA from 1 species